CCUCUCUAGGUUUCUUACCCAUCAGACCUAAACACUGGACUGAAUGAUUAAAAAUGUGGAAAAGUAAAACUUGAAACAGAUGUAAGCUAUUUUGUGAUACACGAGCUAAUUUUAAACAAGC
rnacentral:snoRNA from 1 species